CAUCUACCUAUCCUUCUUCUUC
rnacentral:miRNA from 1 species